GUGUCAGCAGCCGCGGUAAUACGUAGGUGGCAAGCGUUAUCCGGAUUUAUUGGGCGUAAAGCGAGCGCAGGCGGUUUUUUAAGUCUGAUGUGAAAGCCCUCGGCUUAACCGAGGAAGCGCAUCGGAAACUGGGAAACUUGAGUGCAGAAGAGGACAGUGGAACUCCAUGUGUAGCGGUGAAAUGCGUAGAUAUAUGGAAGAACACCAGUGGCGAAGGCGGCUGUCUGGUCUGUAACUGACGCUGAGGCUCGAAAGCAUGGGUAGCGAACAGGAUUAGAUACCCUGGUAGUCCAUGCCGUAAACGAUGAAUGCUAGGUGUUGGAGGGUUUCCGCCCUUCAGUGCCGCAGCUAACGCAUUAAGCAUUCCGCCUGGGGAGUACGACCGCAAGGUUGAAACUCAAAUAAAUUGGCGG
rnacentral:rRNA from 1 species